UAGGUUAUAAGUUAAUUAGACUGGAAGUUUUCAGCACUUCAAGUAAAGGUAAUUCUUUUGACCUAG
rnacentral:tRNA from 1 species